rnacentral:piRNA from 1 species
UGAGAAGAGACAAAGCAGGCUGCAC